rnacentral:rRNA from 1 species
CGCCCAAGGAUGAGGCCGCGACCGAUCAGGUUGUUGGUGAGGUAAUGGCUCACCAAGCCUUUUACCGGUGCGGGCCGUGAGAGCGGGAGCCCGGAGAUGGGCACUGAGACAAGGGCCCAGGCCCUACGGGGCGCAGCAGUCGCGAAAACUUUGCAAUACACGAAAGUGUGACAGGGCUAUCCCGAGUGCCAUCCGCUGAGGAAGGCUUUUACCCAGUCUAGAACGCUGGGGGAAUAAGGAGAGGGCAAGUCUGGUGUCAGCCGCCGCGGUAAUACCAGCUCUCCGAGUGGUGUGGAUGUUUAUUGGGCCUAAAGCAUCCGUAGCUGGCUGAGUUAGUCCCUUGUUAAAUCCACCGAAUUAAUCGUUGGAUUGCGGGGGAUACUGCUCGGCUAGGGGACGAGAGAGGCAGACGGUAUUUCCGGGGUAGGGGUGAAAUCCUAUAAUCCCGGGAAGACCACCAGUGGCGAAGGCUGUCUGCUAGAACGCGCCCGACGGUGAGGGAUGAAAGCUGGGGGAGCGAACCGGAUUAGAUACCCGGGUAGUCCCAGCUGUAAACGAUGCAGGCUAGGUGUUUGGACGGCCACGUGCCGUUCUAGUGCCGCAGGGAAGCUGUUAAGCCUGCCGCCUGGGGAGUACGAUCGCAAGAUUGAAACUUAAAGGAAUUGGCGGGGGAGCACCACAAGGGGUGAAGCUUGCGGUUUAAUUGGAGUCAACGCCGGGAAGGGC